rnacentral:rRNA from 1 species
UACAGAGGUCCUCAAGCGUUGUUCGGAUUCACUGGGCGUAAAGGGUGCGUAGGUGGCCAGGUAAGUUCGGUGUGAAAGCUCGGAGCUUAACUCCGAAAUGUCAUUGAAUACUAUCUGGCUUGAGGGUCGGAGGGGAGACUGGAAUUCUCGGUGUAGCAGUGAAAUGCGUAGAUAUCGAGAGGAACACCAGUGGCGAAGGCGAGUCACUGGCCCGAUACUGACGCUGAGGCGCGAAAGCGUGGGGAGCAAACAGG